rnacentral:rRNA from 1 species
AUUGAACGCUGGCGGCAGGCCUAACACAUGCAAGUCGAGCGGAUGAAGGGAGCUUGCUCCUGGAUUCAGCGGCGGACGGGUGAGUAAUGCCUAGGAAUCUGCCUGGUAGUGGGGGAUAACGUCCGAAAACGGGCGCUAAUACCGCAUACGUCCUGAGGGAGAAAGUGGGGGAUCUUCGGACCUCACGCUAUCAGAUGAGCCAAGGUCGGAUUAGCUAGUUGGUGGGGUAAAGGCCUACCAAGGCGACGAUCCGUAACUGGUCUGAGAGGAUGAUCAGUCACACUGGAACUGAGACACGGUCCAGACUCCUACGGGAGGCAGCAGUGGGGAAUAUUGGACAAUGGGCGAAAGCCUGAUCCAGCCAUGCCGCGUGUGUGAAGAAGGUCUUCGGAUUGUAAAGCACUUUAAGUUGGGAGGAAGGGCAGUAAGUUAAUACCUUGCUGUUUUGACGUUACCAACAGAAUAAGCACCGGCUAACUUCGUG